GUGUGGGCUCUUUAGGGGUCUCUGCUGCACAGGCCAAAGCUGCUAAAUAUGGUAAAUAUGGUAUUAAAUUAAAUCACAAACCCAAUAUAUCGGUCAGACAGGGACAUUAGGAUGUUUGGUAAUGGUUCACUUCAUAUUUCUGCAGGUGCUGGUGCUGGUUUAGGUGGAGCUGGAGCCUUUCCUGGUGGUGUUGGUGCUGGUUUAGGUGGAGCUGGAGCCUUUCCUGGUGGUGCUGGUGGAUUUUACCCUGGCGCAGUAGGUACAGGUGGUCUUACACCAGCACAAGCUAAGGCAGCUAAAUAUGGUGCUGUCCCUGGUGCUACUGGGAUUGGUGGCCUACCAGGUGCAGGUGGACUGUUUCCUGGGCCAGGAGUAGGAGGUGAGAUACAAAUCAGUGCCAUUAGAGCUGACAGUAAGUUUAUUAGAAUGAUAUAAUAGUGCUAAAUGUUGUUGUUGUUGUUGUUUACCUGUGUGUGAAGGUGCUGGUGCACUCUCCCCCGCUCAGGCAAAAGCUGCUAAAUAUGGUGCAGGAGCAGUUCCUGGUGGUGCCGGGAUUCUUCCUGGUGGUGCCGGGAUUCUUCCUGGUGGUGCUGGGAUUGGGCCAGGAGGAGUUUACCCUGGAACAGGAGGUGCUGGUGCACUCUCCCCUGCUCAGGCAAAAGCUGCUAAAUAUGGUGCAGGAGCAGUUCCUGGUGGGGCUGGGGUUCUUCCUGGUGGUGCCGGUAUUGUUCCAGGUAGGACUGGGAUUGUUCCUGCUGGACCUGGGAUUGUUCCAGGAGCUGGGGGAGUCUACCCUGCAACAGGAGGUCUUACACCAGCUCAAGCCAAAGCAGCUAAAUACGGUCUAGGUGCGGCAGGUGGAGCUGGUGCUGUUCCGGGUGUUGGAGGACUGUACCCUGGAGCAGGGGGAGCUGGAGUUGCCCCAGGCUAUGGUUCUGUGGCUGGGCUUGGAGGACAGCUUGGGGCUGGAGGGCUAGCAGCUGGAGCCAAACCUCCUAAAUAUGGUAAGGGCUUGACUCUUUUCUGUUUCAGCUGUCUUGGCAGUGUUAUUCAGCUGUUUGUACAUGUGUUGCUCUACAGUUUGUGUUUGAAUGUUGUUUGUAAUAGAAAAUAG
rnacentral:lncRNA from 1 species